UGUGAAACUUCAUAAACUUCCUUUGCCUCCCAUUUCUCUGUUUUCUUCAAUGGUUACAGUUUCGUUGAUGUAGCUUCCCGUCUAAUCUAUUGCAUCCUUAUUCUUCUUCAAGGAUGCUCUCUGUUCUUUUUGCGCGAAUUAGUGGAUGAGGAUGAAGCAAUUACUAUUAAUCCAACACUUGAUCUGAGAUAAUGUAAUCAUUAUCUGUUGAUGCUACUGUUAGCUUCUGAAUCUACUUUCGUCUAUCAAUCCAUCUCCGUUUUCUUCUCUGUUCUUUUUCUUUUCCUAGUUUUCUAAUGUUGAAUGCACAAGUUUAAAUCUGUGUUGCGAUUGACCGCUGCACCUGGAUUAUAGUAUUCAAGCUUUAGUGUUUUCGCCACAAUCAUUACGUGGUUUGCUUUCAUAGUGUGUGGUCUGAUUUUUUGUUACAUUUUUUUCUACAGUAUUGUUUUCUUUGAGUAAAAUAUAGUUAUUUGUUCUUCUACUA